AUAUUCAAAUAUUGCUUCUUAAUAAUUAUAUCUUUGACUUUUUUUUACAAAGUUUCAUCGACUCAACAGUUACUUUUCAAAAACUUACAUUCUCUUAUCAUUAAGUCUAACAAGUUCUUUACAUUCUUAACUAUAUCGUAUCAAAAUAUCGCUCUUAAUCAUAAAGCAACAUCGAAGAUUGAAGAUUUACACCCGUAAGAGUAUAUCAAAAAUCGAAAAUAAAAUAUUCGUUACGGUAUUUAAAGGUCGAAACAAAUUUCUAUUCAGAUUUUAUUUCCUUAUAUAUGUUCACAGGAACAUAAAUUUACAUAAAAGCCUACAAUCUAGUAACAAUAAAGAUUUGUACAAUUAUUUUAACUUAUCAUUUCAUCUUGAAUAUUUAAACCAGCAAACACCUUUUUACGUGCAUACAUAGACCAAGCGAACACAUUCGCCAAUAACUUUAUGUAUACCGUUAUACACGAUCGUUUGCUUAUCUUACUCGUAUGCGAUUGGUGUAUUUUUUUUUAAAUUCAUCCAUAUUUUUCACCAAUGCUAUCAAUAUCUAUGACCAUUCCUUUUCCACCUACAUAUACUUGGUAAUUGGUAGUUCGCUUGGAAAAUGAAAUAUUCAUAAAUGAACGAUAUAACGUAUUUAUUGCAUGUUAGGCAAAGGUUACACGAUAGACUUCCCGCAUUAGGACGUAGUAACGUUGUACAUAGAUGUAAAGUUAUAUACGCGGCGGUGUUCGUUCAUAUCGAAACGUUCCAUGUGCAUUUACGAAACGUUUGCAAUAAUUUAAACGCAUCGGUUGUGCAUAAUUCCAGCCGGUUACGCCUACGAUCGUGGUCGCAGUAAAAAUCUUGCUCGAAUGACGGAUAACGAUAGAUAAUGGCAGAUAAUAGGACGGAAAUGACGAACAACGAUUCACGGUGUCAUUGAUGAACGUGUUUUUAUUCAAUAGAGACGUCGUUCGUUUCGUUCUUUUUUAAUCUAUGUAAUCGUUCUAGUCAAGGAUAGAUAUUCGUGUUAUCUAUUUUCUUCUACUGGUAAAAAUAAAUCUGAAUAAAUUCCAUUCCGUUUCACGGUCUCGAGAGGUGAUCGUCUAACUCGAGAAGAAGUCGAAGUACCGAUGGUUUUCUUAGAAGAGACAAUUAUUCUCGAACUAAACUAUCUUUUAAAUUAUGUACGAAUUCAAUCGGCACGAAUAUUAUUUACAUGUUUAAUAGAACUUUAUAAUUAAAUCGUGGAUAUUCAUGUAAACGUAUUUUUUUCAAAAUUCGUAUUUUUAUGAACGGCAGUAAAGACAAAAUAAAACGAAAAUUCCUAAAAAUAAGAAAACGAAGAACGAAUCAUAUUCACGUACAGCUCGACGAUAUUGCUUUUUCGUCGUAGAAAUCUAAUUUAUUCCAACGCGAUCACAUCGCUGUAUAUUUAUAUAUAUUGAUAACAUAUUAAAAAGUUUAUAAAGUACGCGACGUGCUUCCUUUCUCUUUUCCCUAUUUUUUCUCCCUUUUCUUUUUACCUACGAUCAACACGUUUGCAAUUAACGACUUGAAUCACCGUAAAGCAAUUCACGAAUCGUGCAACGCGAACGUCCGCGCGAUUUAUUCGGGUUACACGAGACGUAAUCCCGUUCAGGCCGACCUGGCUUUCGAGCGUCAUCGCGUGUCUUUCAUCGACGUAUUUUCGGCAUCAUGCCACGGACAAGCUGGUGUAAUAUGUUCCAAGUGCGUCAUAAUUAAAACAGCCGAACGCCACGAUGCAUUCGUCGAAAGCUUAUGACGAUCGCGGAAGGAACUCCGAUGCCCAGUAUGUCGAACAAAGUUCGAAAACGAACAGCAUUGUGCAUGCAAACGGUUGCAACGAGACUAAGAAGAUGAAGAAGACUUAAGAAUUAAUCUUUAUUAUUUCCAACAAUUCUUUAAUCUUUUGCUUUUUUAUGAUACGAUCAACCAACAACUUCGAUAUAUUUGUGGAAUGAAAUUUAAACUUUGAAACCAAGAGUUUUGUUUCACGUUCGAACAGAAAAAGGUUAUAAAUUUUUGCAAAAUUUAUUUGUACAACUUUUCUCCUUUUUAUCGGUGUGAAUAAUGUAGAAAAUAAUUUUUUAGUUUAUCAAUGUUGUUUUAGUGGCGUCAUGAUUAAAUAUAUCAUUGAUGUUUAAUAAAUUUUACUUUCACGUUUGCUGUCCCCAGAAA